UAGUAACUGCGAGUGAAGCGGGAAAAGCUCAAAUUUAAAAUCUGGCGGUCCUUGGCCGUCCGAGUUGUAAUCUAGAGAAGUGUUACCCGCGUCGGACCGUGUACAAGUCUCCUGGAAUGGAGCGUCAUAGAGGGUGAGAAUCCCGUCUUUGACACGGACUACCGAGGCUUCUGUGGUGCGCUCUCAAAGAGUCGAGUUGUUUGGGAAUGCAGCUCAAAAUGGGUGGUAAAUUCCAUCUAAAGCUAAAUAUUGGCGAGAGACCGAUAGCGAACAAGUACCGUGAGGGAAAGAUGAAAAGAACUUUGGAAAGAGAGUUAAACAGUACGUGAAAUUGCUGAAAGGGAAACGCUUGAAGUCAGUCGCGUCCUCCGGGAAUCAGCCUUCCUUCUGGUUGGCGUACUUCCUGGUGGACGGGCCAGCAUCAGUUUUGACCGGUGGAAAAAGUUGUAGGGAAUGUGGCACCUCCGGGUGUGUUAUAGCCCUGCUUCGUAUACAUCGGUUGGGACUGAGGAACUCAGCACGCCGCAAGGCCGGGAUUCGUCCACGUUCGUGCUUAGGAUGCUGGCAUAAUGGCUUUAAUCGACCCGUCUUGAAACACGGACCAAGGAGUCUAACAUGCCUGCGAGUGUUUGGGUGGAAAACCCGAGCGCGUAAUGAAAGUGAAAGUUGAGAUCCCUGUCAUGGGGAGCAUCGACGCCCGGACCAGACGUUCUCUGACGGUUCUGCGGUAGAGCAUGUAUGUUGGGACCCGAAAGAUGGUGAACUAUGCCUGAAUAGGGUGAAGCCAGAGGAAACUCUGGUGGAGGCUCGUAGCGAUUCUGACGUGCAAAUCGAUCGUCAAAUUUGGGUAUAGGGGCGAAAGACUAAUCGAACCAUCUAGUAGCU
rnacentral:rRNA from 1 species